GAUGAACGCUGGCGGCGUGCCUAAUACAUGCAAGUCGAGCGAACAGACGAGGAGCUUGCUCCUCUGACGUUAGCGGCGGACGGGUGAGUAACACGUGGAUAACCUACCUAUAAGACUGGGAUAACUUCGGGAAACCGGAGCUAAUACCGGAUAAUAUAUUGAACCGCAUGGUUCAAUAGUGAAAGACGGCUUUGCUGUCACUUAUAGAUGGAUCCGCGCCGCAUUAGCUAGUUGGUAAGGUAACGGCUUACCAAGGCAACGAUGCGUAGCCGACCUGAGAGGGUGAUCGGCCACACUGGAACUGAGACACGGUCCAGACUCCUACGGGAGGCAGCAGUAGGGAAUCUUCCGCAAUGGGCGAAAGCUUGACGGAGCAACGCCGCGUGAGUGAUGAAGGUCUUCGGAUCGUAAAACUCUGUUAUUAGGGAAGAACAACUGUGUAAGUAACUAUGCACGUCUUGACGGUACCUAAUCAGAAAGCCACGGCUAACUACGUG
rnacentral:rRNA from 1 species